AGCGGGGAGCAGUAGAGUAGGACUUCUUGGAGGACUCUAGAGCGGCAGGAGCAGGCCGAGGCCGAUGAUGUCGGAAAAGAAGCAACCCGUGGAUCUGGGGCUUCUAGAGGAAGACGACGAAUUCGAGGAGUUUCCUGCCGAAGAUUGGGCUGGUUUAGAUGAAGAUGAAGAUGCACAUGUGUGGGAAGAUAAUUGGGAUGAUGAUAAUGUGGAAGAUGAUUUCUCUAAUCAAUUAAGAGCGGAACUGGAAAAGCAUUGCUACAAGAUGGAAACCACAUAGCUUCCAAUGGUGUUUCAAUUUGUGUAAAUUGACUGUAAAUUUAAUACUGAUAUAUGGAAUGGAAGAUGGAUUGAAGACUGUUCGUUGCGAUCCUAAAUUUUGUUUGUUUUCUAUAAAUAAAAAGUUGAAUCUUCUUGUUAUA